rnacentral:rRNA from 1 species
AUUGAACGCUGGCGGCGUGCCUAACACAUGCAAGUCGAGCGGUAACAGGUGUAGCAAUACAUGCUGACGAGCGGCGGACGGGUGAGUAACGCUUGGGAAUCUGCCUGUUAGUGGGGGACAACCCGGGAAACUCGGGCUAAUACCGCAUACGCACUACGGUGGAAAGCCGGGGACCGCAAGGCCUGGCGCUAACAGAUGAGCCCAAGUCGGAUUAGCUAGUUGGUAGGGUAACGGCCACCAAGGCGACGAUCCGUAACUGGUCUGAGAGGACGACCAGUCACACCGGAACUGAGACACGGUCCGGACUCCUACGGGAGGCAGCAGUGGGGAAUAUUGGACAAUGGCGAAAGCCUGAUCCAGCGACGCCGCGUGGGUGAAGAAGGCCUGCGGGUUGUAAAGCCC